GGGAGUUAAUGGAAGGAAUAAUGGCGCUCUAGACUCUGGAGUGAGAAUUUAACGGUUUGGGUGAAAAAUGAGGAGCGACGAUUGCGAUUGGCGGAAGGAUAACAAGUGUUCAUCGGUAGAUGGACGCUUUCAAGCACCGAAUUGGAGGUAACUUUGGAGUGCUUUUACAUUUGGUUUGAUUUCAUCGGCGCCGCUCAGGCACUACUUUCGCCGUAAGGUUUAUACACGCUUACAAGAAUCGGAGAAUAGGAAGCUGUGGAUUAGUAUCUCCGGUCUCAUCUACGCAGUGGCUACUACUUUCGUAACAUGCAGAAUGUUCUCUAUUGGGGAAGGAACAAAUAUAAGAGAACAUACGAUAGCUGGUCAGGUAAGGAUUCAGGGACAGAUUUCAACAGUUCCACCAAGAUGGUUGGUAUUGGAGAGCAUGUGACAAUAUCACAACACUAUUCUAUUUAAGGUCUGGACAGGUGAGAAUGUUGCUUUGAUAUUCUUUGCUAGUAUGAUAUUGUGUCGAUUAUUUAUGUUCCUUAAACUAUACCCAAUAAAGGUCUUACUAAGUUAUUGUUCCUAAAAGAAUACAAGAUGAUUAAUUGGACUUGAUUUGCUACGUUUACCUGUCUUCGUUUGUGGCAUAUUAAGAAAAUAAAUAAAAUGCACAGAUGAUGGAAUUAAGGUGCUCAUUUCCUUCGUUGAAUCAUCUGUAUAUAUUCCCAUUUAAGCAGCAACGGAAAUUAUGUUGUUUUUGUCAUUUAAGAAGAGGACCAAGUUCAUUUGUUGGUAGUGUGUUUUGAGACGUCUUCUUUACACGGAGUGUCAUAUUGUUCAUCAGUAACCCAUCAGAUUCAUAAGGUCAUUCUUUUAUUCCGAUCCAAGUUCAUAGGAUCAGGAUACUUAAAUGCUUUAACCCUUGAUUGUUGCAGACAGCAUUUCGAACUGAGGCAAAACAGAAUCACACAGAUCAGAACCAGGAAAUUAAAGGUGUAAUGGGAAACUUGAUUGCCUUAACCCUUUGCCACGACUCUUGAAGAUGACAGGUGAGUUAAAAAAUAUUUUUAUUCUCCCAUUAGCAAAUGAGUUUCUGCAUUAAUUUCGUCAUAGGUAGGGUUUUUCCAUGCCUAUUUAGGCGGCAUAAAAUUUAUUAUUUUUUAAAGAUGAAUUAACCAUUGAGAAUGACGAGUGCAUUAAUCUAGCCUCAACCUGGUUAUAGUUUGUUUGAGAAUGCAACUAAAAAUAGGUAAUACACUAUUGGAGCUAGAACGUGAUUGUGGCUAGGCAUAUUUCUGUUGUUCUGCCUUCUUCCCUGCUAAUAGUGUCGUCAAUAGACUCCUCAUUGAACCUAACUUAAAGAAACGAGUUUCUAAUGGAGCUAGAACCUGAAGGGAAGGAAAUACACCGAUGCUUUUUAAAGAUACCACAAUAGAAUGUCACUCAAAUUUAGAUAAUAGGUCUUCUUUUGACUUCAAAUAACUACUGCGAAAAUUCAUUGAAAUAUAUUUUUUAUAUAAUACAUGUCAGACAUGUUUUCAUAUCGCACUUUCCCAAGUAUAACGUCAGUCAGCUGAAUUUGGUAUUCUUCCUCUCAUCUUUUGCUGUCGAGAUGUUUGGUUUUCCCUCUAGUUGGUCCUUUUUGCUCCCCCGUCCGCAAUCUUCUAGGUCAAAACCUACCUCAGAAUUUGAAUGACGACGACGUCAUUCAAUAAAAAAAACUGACAAUCUGUCAGCUUGUAGUCAACAGUCCACUUAACAAGCCAACUAAAGGAAGUUUUCGAUCUUGCCAUCAAAUAGUUAAAGCUUUAGAAACUUCGCAACUAUGGUAGGGUCUCGAGCUUGCUGCCAGCAAAAAAAAAAAAAAAAAAAAAAAAAAA